GACGUAGGGGGCGAGCGUUAUUCGGAAUUACUGGGCGUAAAGCGCACGUAGGCGGCUUUGUAAGUUAGAGGUGAAAGCCCAGGGCUUAACCCUGGAAUUGCCUUUAAGACUGCAUCGCUAGAAUCGUGGAGAGGUGAGUGGAAUUCCUGGUGUAGCGGUGAAAUGCGCAGAUAUCAGGAGGAACACCGGUGGCGAAGGCGGGUCUCUGGGCAGUAACUGACGCUGAGGAGCGAAAGCGUGGGGAGCGAACAGG
rnacentral:rRNA from 1 species